UAAGCAAUCUGCCCAUCGGCCUGGGAUAACAGUUGGAAACGACUGCUAAUACCGGAUAGGUGAUGAAGAGGCAUCUCUUGAUCAUUAAAGUUGGGAUACAACACGGAUGGAUGAGCUUAUGGCGUAUUAGCUAGUAGGUGAGGUAACGGCUCACCUAGGCGAUGAUACGUAGCCGACCUGAGAGGGUGACCGGCCACAUUGGGACUGAGACACGGCCCAA
rnacentral:rRNA from 1 species